rnacentral:tRNA from 3 species
GGAAUAGCUCAGUUGGUAGAGCAUCGGUCUCCAAAACCGAGUGUCGGGAGUUCGAGUCUCUCUUCC